AGUAACCAAAACUAGUGUUUUGAAAGAUAUUUAUAAUGAGAAUUUUUGUUUUGCAUCGCAAAAUGUCGUGACAAACAAUUUGUAGUACUAUGAUCCAGAGGCAAAUAAUGGAUAAAGUAUAUACAUCGAGGCUUAUCUUUUUUAGUUAAAUUUCGUUUUAGUGGACUUCACAGUUUCAUUAUGCGUGGUUUCCUUUCCAUGACUCUUUCCUUUUCAUAUCAUUUAAUGUUUGGCCAUAAAAGUCGAAUGUGUUUUUGCAGUUGGUUGUGAAUGUUUUUGCAGUUGGUUGUUUCUUCAAUUUACAUCGCAAAACCAAGAUUAAGAGAGGGGGAGAUUCGGUGAAGGAACUUAAUCGAAGUAAUAAAUCGGAUCGUAAACCUACCAAUCGAGGGAUUGAAGCACUGGAAACUUUGCCUACGCCCCGGAGUAUACCUGAGUUGUACAAAGAAAAAGAGCAUACUCUGAGAGUUUUCACUUUUGAAGAGCUCAAAAUCGCGACUAAUGGGUUCAGCAGGUUGCUUAGGAUUGGAGAAGGUGGAUUUGGGAGCGUAUAUAAGGGGCAGAUUAGGCUUGAAGGUGAUCAGGGAGAGGAAAUUAUAGUUGCUAUCAAGCGACUUAAGUCAAAUAGCUCACAGGUUGAUCCAAACACAGGAGUUUCAAUGUAUGAAUCAGAUGACAUAAUCAAGUAUCUGGUUCAGAACUAUGGUGUGGACUCAUCACAAUUUAUAUGAUCAAUUUGAUCCUACUUUUAUUUUUCUCAUUAUUUCUUAUUGUGUGCUUACUCAAUCCUACUUGAGUCCUAGUCUUCAUCUUGCUUCAGCAGCGGAAGCUGGAGCUUUGGUGAGUUUAAGACCUUUUUUCCCCCCGAUUUUUCCUCUUUCUUUUUGUUGCCUCAUUAUUGUUUCUUUAUCAUUUCUAAGUCAUGUUUCAAGUCCUUGGUUUUUUUUGUGCUUGUGAACGUCGAACAAUUUCCUUAUUGCACUAACUAGAAGAAUAUUUCUAUGCCCUCAUCAUUUUGAACUUCUGUUCUUUAUUAUAUUCACAACUGUGAUUGUACUACUUCUCAGGUUUGUUUUUGCACAAAUCCAGUUUGGCUUGUGAUGCUGUGAACUGUGGUGUGGUUUUUAUAGUCAUUUUUCUUAGCUGAUUCUUGAGUGACUUGGUUUCAGGUUAUUCGAGCUCGGUUGCUACAGUUCAGGAAGAGGAAUGUCAAGCCCUUGCUGCAUUUGGUGCCUGUUUCCAAUAUUAAUAAUUGUUUGAAGAAGCAUUUUCGAGACCUUUAAAAUGUCGUGAUCUUUGAAUUUAUAUAAUUCUGUUUGGUUGCAGUUAAUUUUACAAGCGUGUUUUCAUUGUUGGUGGAACCAGACUUGAAUAAUAUGGGAUUUAUGUGCUUUAAGAUAUGAAUGAGAUUUAUUGUUGCUUUAAGAUAUGAAUGGGAUUUAUGUGCAAGUGCUAAUAGCAUUUUCAUUGUUGGUGGAAUCAGACUUGAAUAAUAUGGUUUCCUACGUAAUGUGACUUGUAGUUUCAA